CUUCUGUUUGCAACGUUUAACUCUCUCUCUCUCUGUUUAACUCUCACUUUCCAGUUCCCGUUUAACCUUCUCUCUGUUUGCAACGUUCGUUAUUCUCUUUACAACAGAGCUCAAGGAAAUCCAAGGUCUCAGUUCAACAACGACCAAUAGAUGGAUCUACAUGUAUCAGCGUAACUAUAAACUAUCGUGGAAUUCUAUCAAAAAAUCUAAAAACUCGAACACAACGCAUGCACCUCAAAACGGAAUGUGGGAACAAGUCACUGAUGCGCCGAGGCACAAAUCACGCAGAAGGAAAGAUAGGUCAUACAUACAAUCGUUAAAAUUCAAACAGACCAAGGAGUAGAGGGUUAGGUUUUUACCGUUCGAGAUGCUUCAGAGUUGAACGAACAGGUGAAGUGAUGUUGAUGCUGAUUGAUUGAAAAAGGGGUGCUGUUAUUCAACAGGUUUUUUAGUUCUGAAGAGUUGCUUUUGAAUUGGGAACUUCCAAAAGAGCUUUUGGAAGAGUCUGUGAAAUUUGCUUAAAACUGCUGUGUUUACAUCUUAUUCCAAUUUUUAAUAAAAUUAUUUCUGAUGUAACAGAGACCUUUUGGAUUAUGAACUUAGGGAUUGCUUGUAACAUGUACAAACUUAAUUUGGAAUUUCUCUUUUUGGCCAGUUAUGCAAUUGUUUUGGAUUAUUAGGAA